rnacentral:pre_miRNA from 1 species
UAAGUACUCCCUCCGUCCGGAAAUACUUGUCAUCAAAAUAAAUAAAAGGGGAUGUAUCUAGAUGUAUUUUAGUUCUAAAUACAUCCCUUUUUAUCCAUUUUGAUGACAAGUAUUUUCGGACGGAGGGAGUAGUAG